UAUGAUCUGAAGUCAGGU
rnacentral:rRNA from 1 species